rnacentral:rRNA from 1 species
ACUAAGCGUACACGGUGGAUGCCCUGGCAGUCAGAGGCGAUGAAGGACGUGCUAAUCUGCGAUAAGCGUCGGUAAGGUGAUAUGAACCGUUAUAACCGGCGAUUUCCGAAUGGGGAAACCCAGUGUGUUUCGACACACUAUCAUUAACUGAAUCCAUAGGUUAAUGAGGCGAACCGGGGGAACUGAAACAUCUAAGUACCCCGAGGAAAAGAAAUCAACCGAGAUUCCCCCAGUAGCGGCGAGCGAACGGGGAGGAGCCCAGAGCCUGAAUCAGUGUGUGUGUUAGUGGAAGCGUCUGGAAAGGCGCGCGAUACAGGGUGACAGCCCCGUACACAAAAAUGCACAUGCUGUGAGCUCGAUGAGUAGGGCGGGACACGUGGUAUCCUGUCUGAAUAUGGGGGGACCAUCCUCCAAGGCUAAAUACUCCUGACUGACCGAUAGUGAACCAGUACCGUGAGGGAAAGGCGAAAAGAACCCCGGCGAGGGGAGUGAAAAAGAACCUGAAACCGUGUACGUACAAGCAGUGGGAGCACGCUUAGGCGUGUGACUGCGUACCUUUUGUAUAAUGGGUCAGCGACUUAUAUUCUGUAGCAAGGUUAACCGAAUAGGGGAGCCGAAGGGAAACCGAGUCUUAACUGGGCGUUAAGUUGCAGGGUAUAGACCCGAAACCCGGUGAUCUAGCCAUGGGCAGGUUGAAGGUUGGGUAACACUAACUGGAGGACCGAACCGACUAAUGUUGAAAAAUUAGCGGAUGACUUGUGGCUGGGGGUGAAAGGCCAAUCAAACCGGGAGAUAGCUGGUUCUCCCCGAAAGCUAUUUAGGUAGCGCCUCGUGAAUUCAUCUCCGGGGGUAGAGCACUGUUUCGGCAAGGGGGUCAUCCCGACUUACCAACCCGAUGCAAACUGCGAAUACCGGAGAAUGUUAUCACGGGAGACACACGGCGGGUGCUAACGUCCGUCGUGAAGAGGGAAACAACCCAGACCGCCAGCUAAGGUCCCAAAGUCAUGGUUAAGUGGGAAACGAUGUGGGAAGGCCCAGACAGCCAGGAUGUUGGCUUAGAAGCAGCCAUCAUUUAAAGAAAGCGUAAUAGCUCACUGGUCGAGUCGGCCUGCGCGGAAGAUGUAACGGGGCUAAACCAUGCACCGAAGCUGCGGCAGCGACGCUGAUGCGUUGUUGGGUAGGGGAGCGUUCUGUAAGCCUGCGAAGGUGUGCUGUGAGGCAUGCUGGAGGUAUCAGAAGUGCGAAUGCUGACAUAAGUAACGAUAAAGCGGGUGAAAAGCCCGCUCGCCGGAAGACCAAGGGUUCCUGUCCAACGUUAAUCGGGGCAGGGUGAGUCGACCCCUAAGGCGAGGCCGAAAGGCGUAGUCGAUGGGAAACAGGUUAAUAUUCCUGUACUUGGUGUUACUGCGAAGGGGGGACGGAGAAGGCUAUGUUGGCCGGGCGACGGUUGUCCCGGUUUAAGCGUGUAGGCUGGUUUUCCAGGCAAAUCCGGAAAAUCAAGGCUGAGGCGUGAUGACGAGGCACUACGGUGCUGAAGCAACAAAUGCCCUGCUUCCAGGAAAAGCCUCUAAGCAUCAGGUAACAUCAAAUCGUACCCCAAACCGACACAGGUGGUCAGGUAGAGAAUACCAAGGCGCUUGAGAGAACUCGGGUGAAGGAACUAGGCAAAAUGGUGCCGUAACUUCGGGAGAAGGCACGCUGAUAUGUAGGUGAAGUCCCUCGCGGAUGGAGCUGAAAUCAGUCGAAGAUACCAGCUGGCUGCAACUGUUUAUUAAAAACACAGCACUGUGCAAACACGAAAGUGGACGUAUACGGUGUGACGCCUGCCCGGUGCCGGAAGGUUAAUUGAUGGGGUCAGCGCAAGCGAAGCUCUUGAUCGAAGCCCCGGUAAACGGCGGCCGUAACUAUAACGGUCCUAAGGUAGCGAAAUUCCUUGUCGGGUAAGUUCCGACCUGCACGAAUGGCGUAAUGAUGGCCAGGCUGUCUCCACCCGAGACUCAGUGAAAUUGAACUCGCUGUGAAGAUGCAGUGUACCCGCGGCAAGACGGAAAGACCCCGUGAACCUUUACUAUAGCUUGACACUGAACAUUGAGCCUUGAUGUGUAGGAUAGGUGGGAGGCUUUGAAGUGUGGACGCCAGUCUGCAUGGAGCCGACCUUGAAAUACCACCCUUUAAUGUUUGAUGUUCUAACGUUGACCCGUAAUCCGGGUUGCGGACAGUGUCUGGUGGGUAGUUUGACUGGGGCGGUCUCCUCCUAAAGAGUAACGGAGGAGCACGAAGGUUGGCUAAUCCUGGUCGGACAUCAGGAGGUUAGUGCAAUGGUAUAAGCCAGCUUGACUGCGAGCGUGACGGCGCGAGCAGGUGCGAAAGCAGGUCAUAGUGAUCCGGUGGUUCUGAAUGGAAGGGCCAUCGCUCAACGGAUAAAAGGUACUCCGGGGAUAACAGGCUGAUACCGCCCAAGAGUUCAUAUCGACGGCGGUGUUUGGCACCUCGAUGUCGGCUCAUCACAUCCUGGGGCUGAAGUAGGUCCCAAGGGUAUGGCUGUUCGCCAUUUAAAGUGGUACGCGAGCUGGGUUUAGAACGUCGUGAGACAGUUCGGUCCCUAUCUGCCGUGGGCGCUGGAGAACUGAGGGGGGCUGCUCCUAGUACGAGAGGACCGGAGUGGACGCAUCACUGGUGUUCGGGUUGUCAUGCCAAUGGCACUGCCCGGUAGCUAAAUGCGGAAGAGAUAAGUGCUGAAAGCAUCUAAGCACGAAACUUGCCCCGAGAUGAGUUCUCCCUGACUCCUUGAGAGUCCUGAAGGAACGUUGAAGACGACGACGUUGAUAGGCCGGGUGUGUAAGCGCAGCGAUGCGUUGAGCUAACCGGUACUAAUGAACCGUGAGGCUUAACC